rnacentral:rRNA from 1 species
GACGAACGCUGGCGGCGUGCCUAACACAUGCAAGUCGAGCGAUGAAAUCCUUCGGGAUGGAUUAGCGGCGGACGGGUGAGUAACACGUGGGUAACCUGCCUUGUAGAGGGGGAUAGCCUUCCGAAAGGAAGAUUAAUACCGCAUAAUAUCUUUUUAUCGCAUGGUAGAAAGAUCAAAGGAGCAAUCCGCUACAAGAUGGACCCGCGGCGCAUUAGCUAGUUGGUGAGGUAACGGCUCACCAAGGCGACGAUGCGUAGCCGACCUGAGAGGGUGAUCGGCCACAUUGGAACUGAGACACGGUCCAGACUCCUACGGGAGGCAGCAGUGGGGAAUAUUGCGCAAUGGGGGAAACCCUGACGCAGCAACGCCGCGUGAAUGAAGAAGGCCUUAGGG